CCCGGCGCACGGGUGAGUAACACGUAUCCAACCUGCCGUCUACUCUUGGCCAGCCUUCUGAAAGGGAAGAUUAAUCCAGGAUGGGAUCAUGAGUUCACAUGUCCGCAUGAUUAAAGGUAUUUUCCGGUAGACGAUGGGGAUGCGUUCCAUUAGAUAGUAGGCGGGGUAACGGCCCACCUAGUCAACGAUGGAUAGGGGUUCUGAGAGGAAGGUCCCCCACAUUGGAACUGAGACACGGUCCAA
rnacentral:rRNA from 1 species